rnacentral:rRNA from 1 species
UCUCACACCACAUCCGCGCGGGCAGAGGAGUGGCCACGCGUCCAAAGACAACCGAGCGAUCCGCGUGCGUGCGGACGUCGGCGGCGGAGAAGGCGUCGAGGGCGGUAGGCGUAGUCCGAGUCCGGCAAGGCUCGGGAUCUCCCUCCGCCGCGGCGGCGCCGGCUCAAGCUCACGCAGGACGGGGGAUAGUUCGAGGGGACGGCGCAGAGGGUUAGGUGGGAUCCGGCGGCGUGUAGGUCGAGCGCGCCGGGGGAGGAGUGACGCGGCGCCGCCGGCAACGGGGUUGCGGGGAGGCGGGGACGUAGGAUGGCGGCGCUUCGGAGGCCGGGAGAGGAAGGGGUGGGGAGACGUCGGGGCACAGGUUCUCGUCCGGGGAUGGCAGCAUUAAAGCACAAGAAGCGAUUGCGGUGGAGCCGUUGCAGAAGAAGAAGAGGCCAAGUGCAAACGGCAGCUGACAUUCAUACCUAGAACGAGGAAAGUUCGACCUAUAACUACUCGAUGAUCUACUAAUACGGUUCCUUUUAACAUGCAGUAAGUGGCUAAAGUUCUCUCACACCUACCGGUUCUUCAAAAGAAUAUAGAAACUUCCGGCUGGGUUCUGCUUAAGUCCGCAAAAAUACGUUAGGGAGAAAAACGUAACAUAACCGGUAUACUGAAGGGUUUCAAGAGAUGAAGUCUCCAACGGACCCGAAAUGACGGAAAUGACGGAAAUACUCACGGUUGGUAUGUUCGGUGUGAUGUUUUAAAUAGACAGAGAACUCCUCAGGUUCUUUGAGUUUCUGAAACAGUAACUCCGAUUCGUCUUACCCGAACGAGAACAUGGUCGUGAACAGUUUUCCUACGAUCUGUUUCCGUACAAAGACAAACCCAAGUAUUUAAACGAACCACUGUUACUCCGUUUCCUCCAACUACUUUACUUACGUAGGGUCUUAUUUGCCCACUUUAAACGGACACUGUUCAACAAACGUUUAUGAGUUUAUCCCUCAAUGUACGUGUGUCUGAACCCUCACCUCAAACUUGAACUGUCGUAGUUCUUUGACAGUUACCUGAUGCGAUUUCGGUUUCUUAGUCGGAAACGUCUCCGUUCGGUUUGACAACUACACCUUCUACGGUUCGUGUAGGAAGUCUUACUGUUUGACGACCCACUGUUCCAUCUCCUUUAGCAGUUUCUCACCCUACGGGUCUUCCUUCUCAAGAUGGUCUUUUGUCCACAUAGAGGGGUACUACUUGACCGCCACCAACUGUUGCUGCUUAGACCUCUUAAGGUACUGCUUUUGCUUUGGCUGCGGAAACUACUCAAUCUUGUCGACGACGACCUUACUCCCCUCGUAGGUCAUCGGACACUUACUGACUUCUUGAUGAUGGGACGAGUACGGUAAAACAGUGCCGUACCUUAGCUGUAACCCGACUGAGCCGUACGGGUUUUAUAAGAACUUUCGUAAAAAACAGCGUUGUACAGACUUCGUUUUUUUAACAUACAUCAAGAUAAAACCAACCUACUUUACAACGGACUACAUGUAUAAAGGUACCUUGUUUAACCCAAAGGAUUAAGUCCUUUACAACGUAAAAACGUACGAAGAUAACUCGACGAGGUACAUGCGUAAUUCGUAGGCGUAUCCGGUAACUUGUAGAGAGUUAAAAAGAAACGUC